rnacentral:rRNA from 1 species
CAGUAGCCGCGGGAAUACGAAGGGGGCUAGCGUUGCUCGGAAUGACUGGGCGUAAAGGGCGCGUAGGCGGAAUGCUUUGUCGGGCGUGAAAUUCCAGGGCUUAACCUUGGGGCUGCGUUCGAGACGGGUACUCUAGAGUGCAGAAGAGGGUCGUGGAAUUCCCAGUGUAGAGGUGAAAUUCGUAGAUAUUGGGAAGAACACCAACGGCGAAAGCACUCUGCUGGGCCGACACUGACACUGAGAGACGAAAGCUAGGGGAGCAAAUGGGAUUAGAUACCCGAGUAGUCCCUGUCUCUUAUAC